UUAAAAAAAUCUAUAUACUUAAUCUAGUGGUCGGCUAAUCAACUGACUAGCUAAGAGUGAUUUCAGCAAAGGAGGAAGAGUCUGCAGGGAUUCCAGCUGAAGAUUUCUGCAAGCGAGUGGAGAGGACCUACUCAGAAAGUUUGUUUCAGACCAUGCUACCUGCUACAGUUUGCGCUCUGGGCCCCACAUUAAUUUGUUGAUGAGCCUAGCUGACCACCUCUGCAUUCCAUUCCACUCUAGCCAGGCACUGAUUCAUUGAAAUGAGUGAAAUGAGUAGGGAAAGCCCCAGGGCUGUGCUGGAUCUUGCAAGUGCAGAAGCUGAAAGGAGACUUUCAAAACGCCAGGAGGAGAAAGAAGAGAAAAUCAGCACAGGAAAAGGGGAACUGUGGACAAAGCCUCACUCUCUAAAGAAGAUGAUAAACACUGCAGAAAGAAUAGCACCAUGGGAGGAAUGUUUAAAACAUAAAGUUCCAUAAGGAUUGGAAUUAACCAGCUGGAGAAGCACAGAUCUGCAGAAAAUACAGUGACAGCAACAGGACCACUUUCAAGCAGGAUUCAGCGAGAACAGUCAGUGAGGGAAAGUUAGUAGGAAGCUGCAUGACAUGCAUGACUAAAACAGGAUAAGGGAGGUGAGGAAGGGAACAGAGUUUCUACAGAAGCAGAAGCAGGGAGAAAGUGGCAGAAAACUAAAAAUGGGCCGUGAAGUUAUCCUGCAAAGAUAAAUCUGCACCAAGCUAACUCUAAUGCAUUGGUGGUAUAACAAAAAGUCAACAGCAAUUCACAAUGGUCUAUUGUUUAACUAUAAAAGGCAUUCCACUCCUUCUCCCCAUUGAUAAAACUCUUUAUUUACCUCAUGUUGGUGAGGAGCAAGUGGAUUCAGAGGGUUAAAAGUCUAUUACUGAGCUUUUUAUAUAAAGUCAAAAUCUCUGGACUUUAGCCAGUUCAACGGUGGACUGCAGAAUUUUGCCCAUUUUGUGGAGUAGGAAUUCAGGGUUUGUAGUUGUGAUACUAAAAUAAGGAUCCUUGGAGCAUCUACCUUUUAGUUUUAGGGGUAUCCUACACCAGAAAUAUAUUUUGAACACAUAACUGGAUGUUAAAGAAAACAAUAGACUAUUGACAAUAUUAGGCAACUAAGAAUCAAGGCUUGCUCUGUGAUUUUUAUCCUAGAGACAGUACCUGCCCAAGCGCUUCAGAGGUUGUAAUGAUCACAACCUCCAGUAGGGAAACCCUGCAAAUGGAACAUAAGCAAUAUUUAUUUUGUAGAACUAAUAUUAUUUUAUAUUAUAUAAAUUAAUGGCGGUUUCCUUUAGAUCCCAAGUAUCAGCUUUAAUGCUUGAUCUAUCUGAAAGUCCUUAGCCUUGAAAUCAAAUGAGGGAUGGAUUUAUAUAAUGCCUAACAGGUGUUUUGAUAGUCCACUG